AUGAUUAUUUUAUGCUUGUGGUCCAUGCUUGUACAUGGUAAUGUUAAUUGUGAUAACAUGAACUAGAGUAAACCCCUAAACUUGCCAUUAAUUAGUAUUCUAUUUGAUAGUAUAAUUGUAAAUUCAAGGUCAACUCUUAGAUUAUAGUGAGAGAAACUUGGAAGGUUGUGAUAAAAUGGCAUUAAUCACAAUGAGCUUGUCAUAAUAGUUAAAAUAUGUUAGUCAUCAGAACAACAACAAAAAAGUCAAAAAACAAAAUAAGCUAAAAAGUGAACAUGUGGUGUAAGCGCAUUGAGAAAUGUCAACAUACUUCAUACAUCAUUAUCUCUUGAAAUCUCAAAGAUGUUAGUCAUGGAGAACAUGUAUGUGAAGAGUUCAUCAAUAGUGGCACACAUAUAAUAACCUAGAUAGAGUGGAAUUGAUGAGUUAAACCAUAUUCAAUAUUUCAUACCAUAGAAGGUGAAUUUUCAUUGAGAGGUGAAUUUUCUCCUUUAAAGGCAACCUACGAGAACAUCAAUCAAGAACAAUCAAUCAAGCACAAAUUUUAUUUCAUAAUGUACACCAAAGAUAGUGUUCAUAAAUCAUGCGGUAUUGGGGGCGGUAUGAAGUGAUUGAUCUUGGAGAAUCCAGUAGUGACACACUCCAUCUAGGACAACAAGGCAUACUUUUUUUUUGAUAUCACACCCAAAAAGCUUUUAAGUCAAUCACCCUCCUCAUCUACAAAGCUCGUCAAGUUUCUACACUGACUGGGGCGAACCACCUCCUCGGUCAACGCAAACUUCGAGUAGAGAGAGAGAGAGAGAGAGAGAGAGAGAGAGAGAGANNNNN
rnacentral:lncRNA from 1 species